rnacentral:rRNA from 1 species
AGUGAACGCUGGCGGUAGGCCUAACACAUGCAAGUCGAACGGCAGCACAGUAAGAGCUUGCCCUUACGGGUGGCGAGUGGCGGACGGGUGAGGAAUACAUCGGACUCUACUUUUUCGUGGGGGAUAACGUAGGGAAACUUACGCUAAUACCGCAUACGACCUACGGGUGAAAGCAGGGGAUCUUCGGACCUUGCGCGAUUGAAUGAGCCGAUGUCGGGUUAGCUAGUUGGCGGGGUAAAGGCCCACCAAGGCGACGAUCCGUAGCUGGUCUGAGAGGAUGAUCAGCCACACGGGAACGGAGACACGGUCCAGACGCCUACGGGAGGCAGCAGUGGGGAAUAUUGGACAAUGGGCGCAAGCCUGAUCCAGCCAUACCGCGUGGGUGAAGAAGGCCUUCGGGUUGUAAAGCCCUUUUGUUGGGAAAGAAAAGCAGCAGGUUAAUACCCCGCUGUUCUGACGGUACCCAAAGAAUAAGCACCGGCUAACUUCGUG